AUGGAAGUGAUGAUUAUUUCCCCAAACGAACGACGCUGAUUAAACUGAGCGAUUUGUUUCUCUUUUGAGAGAAUCCAAGCCAGGAAUCUGAUCCAU